UCCUCUUUCCCUCAUCCACACAGCUCCCUCCCGAUUCCCCAUCGCCGCCACCCACCACCUCUUCCCAUCCCUCCUCCCACCGCUCACCACCGACCCUCCCCCGCCCCUUCUCUCGCACCACAGCUCCGGCAGGUGUCAGAUCCGCUGCAUCCCCCAACCAUCCACCCCUGUCACGACCCAACUCCCUGUCUCGUGCAACCCUCGCGCCGCGACCAACGCCAUCGAUUCCGGCAACAUCCACACCUCGCAACACACUGGCGAGCUGGUCUCCGACCCCUCCAUCCUCAGGUCCGGCUGGAUCCGCCACUACUAGUCUCCGACGCUCGCCCACAACCCCUCGCCCGUGGCUAGGGUUUCGGCUGUGGUGUCGCGUCCAUCAUCGGCUCGUCUCCGGUGGCUCCUCCCCGUCGGACACCGCGCCCUCUCCACCCCUGGAUGGCGCCCCUAGCUCGGUGGGCUCACGCGCGUUGGGCUGUAUGGCGUCGACCCUGACCUCCUCCGCUGCGUCUCCGGCGCGGCCUUGCAUCCCGUGCAUCACAUGACGGCCUCCUCCGCCACGCGACGGUGGUAGCCGACAUGCACUGCGACAGCUGCAUCGCCUACAAUCUUCUUCAGUGAACACUUGGACCUCUGCUCUCUCUACAACAUCUGCUUAUUUUAUUUCACGUGUUGUUCAUGAAUAUUGGUGGAACUAAUAACAACCGUGUGUAAUGCUGGAAUUUGCAUUCUCAAAAUUUAUUUGCAACAUUCGCUUGUGACUGAUCACUUUUGGUUCCUGAUCUAUAUUCGGCAUAGGUUAUAAGGCUUGUAUUUUCACUUUGAUAGCAUACCUAAGGUUAACUAGAUAGAUAUCACAUGAAUUCUGUAAGUUUGAACUUUGCAUGAUUGAGCACAGGACAUCCAGGGCAGGUGAGGCCUAGGUAUUUCAUUUUAGUUGGCACGUUUCAAGUACGAGUAAUAUGGUGUCUGACAUACUUGUUUUAGUCUUACUGAUGCAAAGAUGGAAAAUAUGUUCUUCUUAUUAUUAUCCAAAGGAUGGUCAGUGUUACACAACUUCAGGUUUCUAAUGCUAGAUCAUUAAUUCCAAGUAGUAAAUAGAUACUUGUUACUUUAUCCAUGACAAACCUCAUCAUGAAGAAAGGGAAAGUAAUGUGCGGCUGCCCAUUGUAAAUUGUUCCUUCUUAGUUCAGUUAGUAUGCAAUUGAAUCAAUUCCUUAAGAAUCCGGUUAGUAAAUUUAGACAUUUGGGAAGGCAUAGUUCUUAAAGAAUUUGGUUCAGUUGGGUCAACAUUUGCAUUUCAGUAAUAAUGAAAUGAGAUAUCCAAUUGUCACACUAAUAUCUUUGCUUUGCACACUAUAGUCAGUACAUCUCCCACCUGAUCGACGCCGAUGCCACGGUCCUCGAGCAGAACAGGGCCAGAAAAUAGACAGCUCCCAGCCUGGUUAGCCCCAUGCACUUUACUAUUUGAUCGGUCCAGAACCAAUGGCUGAACCAACCGCUGCACUCUUAGAUCUGUGAUGUGUGUUUGUUACUUGUCACAUGUAGGGUUUGGCAGUUAAUCCAUGUUACUGGAGACUGAAGUUUUUUAGCAGGAAUUACUUGGGUUCAGAUAGUUGUCUUCAAUUGUUGUUGUUGGAGAUAAAAUCAGCUAGCAGUGCAUUUUCUUUUAAGUCAUGUAACUCACUCUUUAAAAAAACUUAUAAUGCUUUCUAGAUAUGCUCGGGAUGUUUUGAUAUUAGCUUUGCUUUUUCAAAUCAGAUUAGAUUGUGGGAAAUCUAUAUUGUCAUGUAAACUAUUGCUAUUUUUUGAAGGAAUAUAGUUUGGUUGUCUUGCUGUAAA